AGAGAUCAUGGCUCAGGAUGAACGCUAGCGGCAGGCUUAAUACAUGCAAGUCGAGGGGCAGCGGGAGUAGCAAUACUUGCCGGCGACCGGCGCACGGGUGCGUAACACGUAUACAAUCUGCCUCCAACAUGGGGAUAGCCCGGAGAAAUUCGGAUUAAUACCCAGUAACAAAUGAUAUGGCAUCAUAUUAUUUUGAAAGCUACGGCGGUUGGAGAUGAGUAUGCGUCUGAUUAGUUAGUUGGUGAGGUAACGGCUCACCAAGACCACGAUCAGUAGGGGAUCUGCGAGGACUACCCCCCACACUGGUACUGAGACACGGACCAGACUCCUACGGGAGGCAGCAGUAAGGAAUAUUGGACAAUGCCCGCAAGGUGAUCCAGCCAUGCCGCGUGCAGGAAGAAGGCCCUAUGGGUCGUAAACUGCUUUUGAACUAGAGAAAACCUCCUCUCGUGAGAGGAGCUGAUAGUAUAGUUAGAAUAAGCAUCGGCUAACUUCGUGCCAGCAGCCGCGGUAAGACGAAGGAUGCAAGCGUUAUCCGGAUUCAUUGGGUUUAAAGGGUGCGUAGGCGGCCCGAUAAGUCACUGGUGAAAGCCUGUUUGCUUAACAACAGAACUGCCAUUGAUACUGUUCGGCUUGAGCACAGAUGCUGUGGGCGGAAUAUGACAUGU
rnacentral:rRNA from 1 species